GGCGAACGCUGGCGGCGUGCUUAACACAUGCAAGUCGAACGGUGAAGGUGGAGCUUGCUCCGCCGGAUCAGUGGCGAACGGGUGAGUAACACGUGGGCAACCUGCCCCAGACUUCGGGAUAACUCCUCGAAAGAGGCGCUAAUACCGGAUACGAGUUCUGCAGGCAUCUGCGGAAUUGGAAAGUUUUUCGGUCUGGGAUGGGCCCGCGGCCUAUCAGCUUGUUGGUGAGGUAACGGCUCACCAAGGCGACGACGGGUAGCCGGCCUGAGAGGGCGACCGGCCACACUGGGACUGAGACACGGCCCAGACUCCUACGGGAGGCAGCAGUGGGGAAUAUUGCGCAAUGGGCGAAAGCCUGACGCAGCAACGCCGCGUGCGGGAUGAAGGCCUUCGGGUUGUAAACCGCUUUCAGCAGGGAAGAAGCGAAAGUAACGGUACCUGCAGAAGAAGCACCGGCUAACUACGUGCCAGCAGCCGCGGUAA
rnacentral:rRNA from 1 species